CAAAAUCUGGUCAGGUGUGCUCAAAAUCCAUCCAAAUUCACCCAAAAUCCACCCAGGUGUGCUCAAAUUCACCCAAAAUUUGGUCAGGUUUGGUCAAAUCUACCCAGAUUUACCCAAAAUUCAUCCAGGUGUGCUCAAAAUCCACCCAGGUGUGCCCAAAAUCCACC